UACGAAGGGGGCGAGCGUUGUUCGGAAUUACUGGGCGUAAAGGGCGCGUAGGCGGUCCUUCAAGUCAGGCGUGAAAGCCCCGGGCUCAACCUGGGAACCGCGCUUGAGACUGGCGGACUCGAGUUCGGGAGAGGAUGGUGGAAUUCCCAGUGUAGAGGUGAAAUUCGUAGAUAUUGGGAAGAACACCGAUGGCGAAGGCAGCCAUCUGGACCGACACUGACGCUGAGGCGCGAAAGCGUGGGGAGCAAACAGG
rnacentral:rRNA from 1 species